rnacentral:rRNA from 1 species
UACAGAGGUCUCGAGCGUUGUUCGGAUUCAUUGGGCGUAAAGGGCGCGUAGGCGGCGGGGUAAGUCUGGUGUGAAAUCUAGGAGCUCAACUCCUAAACUGCACUGGAUACUGCUCUGCUAGAGGACUGGAGAGGAGACUGGAAUUUACGGUGUAGCGGUGAAAUGCGUAGAUAUCGUAAGGAAGACCAGUGCGAAGGCGGGUCUCUGGACAGUUCCUGACGCUGAGGCACGAAGGUCAGGGGAGCAAACGGG